rnacentral:rRNA from 1 species
UAAGGAAUAUUGGUCAAUGGACGCAAGUCUGAACCAGCCACGCCGCGUGAAGGAUGAAGGUCCUCUGGAUUGUAAACUUCUUUUAUCUGGGACGAAAACGGGAUUUUUAUCUCAAUUGACGGUACCAGAGGAAUAAGCACCGGCUAACUCCGUGCCAGCAGCCGCGGUAAUACGGAGGGUGCGAGCGUUAUCCGGAUUUACUGGGUUUAAAGGGUGCGUAGGUGGGCUUAUAAGUCAGUGGUGAAAUCUCCGAGCUUAACUUGGAAACUGCCGUUGAUACUAUAGGUCUUGACUUAUCUGGAGGUAAGCGGAAUAUGUCAUGUAGCGGUGAAAUGCUUAGAUAUGACAUAGAACACCAAUUGCGAAGGCAGCUUACUACAUAUAAAUUGACGCUGAGGCACGAAAGCGUGGGGAUCAAACA